rnacentral:lncRNA from 1 species
AUGGGUGGGGCCUGUGCCGCCCACACCCUGGGCUCGGAUCCCUCCUCGCCCUUCUGCCUCCAGAGAGCAGGUGUCCCCACAGGGCCGGGCGCUCGCAGGGACCGUCCUGUCGAGCCGUGCUGCAGAGGGGCGAGCGGGGGCUCUGGGGCUAGGCAAGCCCUCUCUUGCUGUCAGGAGAGUCGGGUUGGGGGACGGCACGGGAAUUCCCAGGGACCACUGGCCCUUCAUGGCUACGUCCCAGCCCCUCGGACAGUGCCUGCAGCAGAUGGAUGGGGAGAUGGCUGGACGAACAGGCGGAUGGAGGCAGGACACAAGGCCACGCCUCUGGGGGCAGAGCUGGCCCAUCAGACCUGGUUUCUGUCCAGCUUCAGCUCCCCUGGUGGGAGCCGGGUGGGUCUCUGCCUCCCGCGGGCUCCUGUGGGCUUGGGGUGCUGGGGGCUGGACGCCCUCAGUCGUGUGCAGCUCAGCUCGGUGCGGGACUGCGGCGGGUUCAGAAGUCGGCCCGGUUCCUGCAUCCCUCUGUCUCCAGGGUCAGUGUCGGGAUCGGCCAAGCCACAGGUGCCACUGGGGAUCCCUCUGCCCGGGGUCCUCGAGUCCCCCCACCUCUCAGCCUCAGACCCCAGGGGAGGGCCCCAGCGACGCCCACCCCUCCCAGUGAGGUCACACCCAGGUGUGGCCGGGGCCCGCACCCCAAACCCGAGGCGCCGCUUCCGUUCCUUCCCCAGGAUCCCCCGCGGCCCUGCAGUGAUGGUCCCACCACCCACUGCCACCCGGUGCCAGGCCCGGGACGCCCCAACCUGCAAGCUGCCGGCCCCACUGGCCUACAGUCUCCUUCUAGAACCUGGGGCCCUGCUCCCUGCUCCCCCCAGCUCCUCGAUGUCCACGGGCCCCUGGGACCCUCCUUCGUGGCCCCAUCCCACAGCCUGCUCCCCGGGCACCCACCUCACCCCCCGCGGUCACCGAGACAGCUGUGGAGCCCCAAACCCCCAGGACCCUCCAGUGCCCCGGUGGCCGCGGGAUUCCUGGGCUCCCGCUGCCCGGGACGCACUCGGGCUCUGCCAGGAAAGCCAAGCGCACCCCCCUUCCCGCCCCCACCGCUCCCCUGAGCACAAAGCACGUCAGGUUUAUUUAAAUAAAAAUUAUAAUUUAUACAAGACUUCUUUAAACAAACAAAGUUUUCUUAAAAAAAUGUUACAGGGGAUUUUUCAUUGGUUCUUCAUACAGUACAAUCCUUUCGUUGAACAAAGAUGA